CAGUGGGGAAUAUUGGACAAUGGGCGCAAGCCUGAUCCAGCCAUGCCGCGUGGAUGAUGAAGGCCUUAGGGUUGUAAAGUCCUUUCGGCGGGGAAGAUAAUGACGGUACCCGCAGAAGAAGCCCCGGCUAACUUCGUGCCAGCAGCCGCGGUAAUACGAAGGGGGCUAGCGUUGCUCGGAAUCACUGGGCGUAAAGCGCACGUAGGCGGCUUUUUAAGUCAGAGGUGAAAUCCUGGAGCUCAACUCCAGAACUGCCUUUGAUACUGGAGAGCUUGAGUCCGGGAGAGGUGAGUGGAACUGCGAGUGUAGAGGUGAAAUUCGUAGAUAUUCGCAAGAACACCAGUGGCGAAGGCGGCUCACUGGCCCGGUACUGACGCUGAGGUGCGAAAGCGUGGGGAGCAAACAGGAUUAGA
rnacentral:rRNA from 1 species